CAAGGUUGGUGGCGCACUUGGACACAAUCCGAGUGGGCUUUUUUGCGUGCAUAAUCAAAACCUAAUUUGAUUAAAGCCCACUCAAACGAGUGGGCUUUUUUGU
rfam:Vibro shilonii strain QT6D1 chromosome 1, complete sequence.